rnacentral:rRNA from 1 species
CCCUUAGAUGUUCUGGGCCGCACGCGCGCUACACUGACGACGUCAGCGAGUCUCUCCUUCGCCGGAAGGUGUGGGUAAUCUUGCCAAACGUCGUCGUGCUGGGGAUAGAUCUUUGUAAUUUUCGAUCUUGAACGAGGAAUUCCUAGUAAGCGCGAGUCAUCAGCUCGCGUUGAUUACGUCCCUGCCCUUUGUACACACCGCCCGUCGCUACUACCGAUUGAAUGUUUUAGUGAGGCCUUCCGAUUGGCGCCGCCGCUUCGUUUUCUCGUGGCAGCGGAUUUUAGUCGAGAAGUUGGUCAAACUUGAGCAUUUAGAGGAAGUAAAAGUCGUAACA